CCUACGGGAGGCAGCAGUAAGGAAUAUUGGUCAAUGGAGGCAACUCUGAACCAGCCAUGCCGCGUGCAGGAAGAAGGCCCUAUGGGUCGUAAACUGCUUUUGUACCAGAGAAAACCCGAGUACGUGUACUCGGUUGAUAGUAUGGUAAGAAUAAGCAUCGGCUAACUUCGUGCCAGCAGCCGCGGUAAGACGAAGGAUGCAAGCGUUAUCCGGAUUCAUUGGGUUUAAAGGGUGCGUAGGCGGACUGAUAAGUCAGUGGUGAAAUCUCUCAGCUUAACUGAGAAACUGCCAUUGAUACUGUUAGUCUAGAGUAUAGAUGACGUUGGCGGAAUAUGACAUGUAGUGGUGAAAUACUUAGAUAUGUCAUAGAACACCGAUUGCGAAGGCAGCUAACGAAACUAUAACUGACGCUGAGGCACGAAAGUGCGGGGAUCAAACAGGAUUAGAUACCCUGGUAGUCCGCACCGUAAACGAUGAUUACUCGUUGUUGGCAAUAUGACCGUCAGCGACCAAGCGAAAGCGAUAAGUAAUCCACCUGGGGGUACGCCGGCAACGGUGAAACUCAAAGGAAUUGACGG
rnacentral:rRNA from 1 species